UGUCCUGAUCUUCCGCGCUCGCACGUACGGUCACCUCCGGCCGGAGACGGAGCAGGCAGGAGAUCUCCGUGUCUCUCUGCGCCGCGACCGGGAGACCCUUUCUUCCACGUCCCCGUCGACGGAGAUCACGGGGGGGAGAGAGAGCUAUCAAUCGGAGAACUGGCGACGAAGGAAGCUCGAGCUGGUCGACGGUGGAGAAGAAGCGCGCCCACGGUCAAGCUAGGAAGUCUUGGUCCACCCGUCCUCACGUCCAGCUCGUUGGGCCCGCCGAUCCAAACAGGGCCUUGGCUACCUCCGAGUUGGGCUUUCCACUUUCACUGCACCGCCAUGCCUAGUCCAAUAUCUAUAAAUACUUGGGGGCCGGCGGGCUGAGAAGCGAGCCUUGGCCUGCCUUGGCGGCGGUGCUGACUUCAUGGGGAUCUUGUUUUUCUUCACACAAAGAAAAUCUCGACUUCUUUUUGGACAGACCGGCGUCUGUACGUGCAAAUUUAUCCAGCGAUUCCGCGGCUCGUGAUUGCAAAGCUUAAUAGGUACAUUGUAGAAUUAUCUUAACGACGUCUACAUCUAACAAUUGGAGUGAGAAGUGACAAGUUGAUCUUUUUUUUUUCUAAAAAGUUCAAGCAAAUAUAACCCACCCCAAAAGUUUAGCCAAAUUUAACCCUACUAAACUCUAUUCUCCACGCCAUGUACCUCCAUGCUUGGGAAACCACCUAGUGUUAUUUUUCAGCAAAACAAAUAUUCAUAAAACCA